rnacentral:rRNA from 1 species
GAUGAACGCUAGCGAUAGGCUUAACACAUGCAAGUCGAGGGGCAUCACGGGGUAGCAAUACUUUGGUGGCGACCGGCGUACGGGUGCGUAACACGUAUGCAACCUUCCUGUAAGUGUGGGAUAGCCUCCUGAAAGGGAGAUUAAUACCGCAUGAUAUGUAUUUGCUGCAUGGUAGAUACAUUAAACAUUUAUGGCUUACAGAUGGGCAUGCGUUCCAUUAGGCAGUUGGUGGGGUAACGGCUCACCAAACCUACGAUGGAUAGGGGUUCUGAGAGGAACGGUCCCCCACACUGGAACUGAGACACGGUCCAGACUCCUACGGGAGGCAGCAGUGAGGAAUAUUGGUCAAGUGGGCGUAAGCCUGAACCAGCCAAGUCGCGUGAAGGAUGACUGCCUUAGUGGGUUAGUAAACUUUCUUUUACGAGGGGAAUAAAUUGAGUCACGUGUGUAUUUUUUGCAUGUACCCUGUGAAUAAGCAUCGGCUAACUCCGUG